AACGAACGCUGGCGGCAGGCUUAACACAUGCAAGUCGAACGAAGGCUUCGGCCUUAGUGGCGCACGGGUGAGUAACACGUGGGAACAUACCUUUCGGUGGGGAAUAACAUCGGGAAACUGAUGCUAAUACCGCAUACGCCCUUCGGGGGAAAGAUUUAUCGCCGAAAGAUUGGCCCGCGUCCGAUUAGCUAGUUGGUGAGGUAACGGCUCACCAAGGCGACGAUCGGUAGCUGGUCUGAGAGGAUGAUCAGCCACACUGGGACUGAGACACGGCCCAGACUCCUACGGGAGGCAGCAGUGGGGAAUAUUGGACAAUGGGGGCAACCCUGAUCCAGCCAUGCCGCGUGAGUGAUGAAGGCCUUAGGGUUGUAAAGCUCUUUCACCCACGACGAUGAUGACGGUAGUGGGAGAAGAAGCCCCGGCUAACUUCGUGCCAGCCGCCGCGGUAACAC
rnacentral:rRNA from 1 species